AACACCGAGUGCACAGAGCCAUUGAUAAAUCAAAGGUCCUUGAUUAUCUAUAACUGACCGGAUAUACCGCAGUGUAGGACAGAACAAAAUAACAUAGAGAAAAUGAUAUUGGAAAAAGAAUAAGAACGUGUCACUAUCGUUUUAUGGUAGGCCCAUCUGGUGGGAUCUUCUCACCACUCUUGGUGUCUCUCCCCUGGGGAGGAUGGAUGUGGAGGCAGCAUCUCCGUCUCCCUCCUCCACGGUGGCGGGGCCCUCCACACAGUGGUGUCUGCCAGAGUGGAGGAGUAGGAAGGCGGGCUCAGGGAACAUCUCUGACUGGAUCCUCAAAAGGUUCUACAGCUGCACCGUCGAGAGCAUGGUUGCAUCACUGCCUGUUAUGGCAACUGCUCAGCCUCCAACCACAAGGCACUACAGAGGGUAGUGCGAAUGGCCCAGAACAUCACUGCGGCCAAGCUUCCUGCCAUCCAGGACCUCUAUACCAAGAGGUGUCAGAGGAAGGCCCUAAAAAUCAUCAAAGAGUCCAGCCACCCUCGUCAUAGACUGUUCUCUCUGCUACAGCACAGUAACCAGCAACGGAGCGCCAUGUCUAGGUCUCAGAGGCUUCUAAACAGCUUCUACCCUCAAGCCAAAUGGCUACCCAGACUAUUUGCAGUGACCCCCCCGUUUCCCCCUUUUGUACACACAGGCUCUCAGUAGAGCUGCCGUUUCCCCCUUUUGUACACACAGGCUCUCAGUAGAGCUGCCGUUUCCCCCUUUUAUGAGCCCUGCAUGAACACAAUCACACUAUACCAGUCUAUACACACACACCAUACCAGUCUAUAUACACACACACAAACAUCAAUUACACAACUAUAUACACAUUUCACUAUACAUGAAAAACACAACACAAAAAGCUAAACACGAUCAUAUGAAACAAUCUUCAGUAAAAAAACAAAUCUAACUAAUCCUUGGUUCUCUAUAAAACUUUCAUGUCGUGUUAAAAUGAGACAGAGAAUAACAGAAUUAUCCUGUGGCUCGCCCGCCAGUGUCCACGACUGAACUGUGGAAUGACAUAAACCAGCAGACCGUAAGGUACCGCUAAAUUAUCUGGUGUUUACCUGGAAAUAGUAGGCUAAGAGGAAGUCAAUACAUAAUAAUGACCUGAUUUUAUUUGAUCAACAUUCCUUUGAAAUAAAUCAACCAACUCUGCCUCCCAAUUCUCCGCCCUCUCUAGAAGUCAGCAAUUGGACAGUCUUGGUCAUGGAUUUAAAACCAUGUGACUGGUGUAAGUAUGGGCUGGAUUGAGUUGCCACGAGUGCUAAAUCCAUGUUAGAAAAGUGUGCAAGGGCUCGCUUUGGGAGAAGGGUAGAAAAUCAGGAUGCAAUCUAAGAGACAAGAAAAGUACAAGAAACCUUGAUAAUGGAAUAGUACAAUUCUUUAUGCAUUUCAUUCUUUACAUACAGUACAAAUCGCAUCAGUGGAGGCUGCGAAGGGGAGGACAGCUCAUAAUGGCUGGAACGGAGUAAAUGAAAUGGCAAACGCAUGGAAACCAUGUAUUUGAUACCAACCCAUUCCACUCCAUCCAUUACCACAAGCCCCUCCCCAAUUAAGGUGCCACCAACCUCCUGUGAUUUGUCAAUACAAUACAUCAGUAGGACAGUUUGGUUACUACAGCAAGGAAAUGUACAUUUAAAUAAACAAGAUGUGAAGAAACAGGCAAUGUGUGUUUCUGAGACAGUACAUUGCAGUCAUCCCAUAGGUGGCGCCACAGGGCUGCCAUCACAUGCAGAUGCCGAUAACACAACAGGCACUGUUACCUGGUUUAUGUUCAGUAGGCACGAAAUGGACGAAAAGUGUCCAAAAAGGAGUGAAAUCAGAAGGUACCAUCUGGCCUUGUCCAAUAAGACAUGCUUAUUUUUGUUUCCUGUUGCAAAACAAUUUCCCAUGGUUUGCCCUAAUGAACAUGGCCCAGUACAAUCUGCAAUCCCAGUAUGAGUAGUUAGUACCACCUGUAACGUGGCCCUUCUAUCAUAGCCUGGUUAACCCGUAUUUAACACUGCACUCAUGAAGUGAAACAAUGGUGAGCGCUGCGUUCAUUCUGGUUUAACCAGGCUACUUCAGUCAGGCUCAGUGGAGGCUGCUGAGGGGAGAACGGCU